UACGUAGGGCGCAAGCGUUGUCCGGAAUUAUUGGGCGUAAAGAGCUCGUAGGCGGUCUGUCGCGUCUGCUGUGAAAGCCCGAGGCUCAACCUCGGGUCUGCAGUGGGUACGGGCAGACUAGAGUGCGGUAGGGGAGACUGGAAUUCCUGGUGUAGCGGUGGAAUGCGCAGAUAUCAGGAGGAACACCGAUGGCGAAGGCAGGUCUCUGGGCCGCAACUGACGCUGAGGAGCGAAAGCGUGGGGAUCAAACAGGAUUA
rnacentral:rRNA from 1 species